rnacentral:rRNA from 1 species
GAUUAACGCUGGCGGCGUGCAUAACACAUUCAAGUCGAACGAAGCGUUUAAGACGGAGACUUCGGUCAAAGUUUUUUAUGACUUAGUGGCGGACGGGUGAGUAACGCGUGAGCAACCUGCCUUCGUAUGGGGGACAACAGCUGGAAACGGCUGCUAAUACCGCAUAAUGCAUCGAAUUCGCAUGUUUUUGAUGCCAAAGAUUUUAUCGCUGAAAGAUGAGCUCGCGUCUGAUUAGCUAGUUGGCGGGGUAACGGCCCACCAAGGCGACGAUCAGUAGCCGGACUGAGAGGUUGAACGGCCACAUUGGGACUGAGACACGGCCCAG